CUGAUAGGACCAGCGCCGUUGCUUUAGCGUCCCUCUCUUUGGUCAUGAUGAUAUGCAAUUAGGGCACGCCGAUUGUGCGCGACGUAAUUCUACUCAUACCAACACUACAUAUGAGAUCUAUAAGCGUCAAAACAAAACUUUAUCCAUGGAGUAUCAUGAAAGGAGUGAUUGAACGGAAAUCGUUAAUGUUAUCAUAUAUUUCUACUCCUUCUAUGAUGAACUGUUCAGAUCUAUUGUUCCUUUUCAUAGGUUCCAAUAUAAUUUUCAACAACUGUGAUUUCGUAAAUAUGGGUAGAUAUGUAUCAUCAAGAUGACAUGUUUUUAAAAAGGUAAUAACUAUGUAAUUUUUAUAUAUUUGUCUUCAUAUUUGUUGUUGUAUUGAAGUUUAAGUUGAUAACUUUUAUUUUUAUAUAUAACUAUCAUGUAUUAUUUAUUUUAGUUUUAAGAUUAUCUCAUCCCCUUGUCAUGGUUUAGUGAGUAACCGAUAAUAGUGAAACGCCAAUUCUCACAAAAUAUCUUGUAUCCCCCUUAAGGGUUGUAAUAGAAUUUGUUUGUCUAGUUGAACUUUACUUUUUCUGGUA